UGAUGGUAGUGAAAAAGAACCUAAAGUGUUAUGUAGUAGAAUUCCUAACUUAUUAAUAAACGGAUGUUCUGGUAUAGCUGUUAGUGUAUUAACUAAUAUUCCGAGUCAUAAUUUAAUUGACGUACUUAAUUGUACUAUUGCUUUUUUAUUAAACCCUAAUGUAACAGAUGAUGAUUUGUUUAAUAUUAUUAAGGGACCUGAUUUUUCAACUGGUGGUAUAAUUAUUAGCAAAAAAGAAGCACUGAAACGUAUAUACAAUACAGGAAAAGGUAGCAUAACAAUAAGAAGUAAUGUUUUUUAUGAAUAUAAUAAAAAUGAUAAAAAAAUAUUUACUAAUCAUAUAAAUAUACUUACAUCUUUAGAUGCAGAUAGCUUUGAAAAACAAAAUAAAAAAUUAAUUAUAAAAAAUUUACCUCCUAAUGUGAAACCAAAUGAAUUAAUUGAAAACAUUAUUAAUGUAUUAAAUGAUAAAAAAAAUGAACAUGAUAAUAUAUUAUUAAAAAUAAGAGAUGAAAGUGAAAAACAAGAAAUGCGAAUAGUAUUAGAACUUAAAAAGCAUAGUCAAAUAGAUCAAAUAUAUAACUUUAUCCAUUUUUUGUUUAAGUAUACACAAAUGCAAAUAAAUUAUAAUUGUAGUUUUAUUUGUAUAGGAUAUAAUAAUAGUUAUACUCAAUUUUCUCUCAAGUCAUUUUUACAAAUGUGGUGUGAAAAUAGAAUACAAUUUAUAAAAAAAAAUUAUCAAAUAAAAAAUAAGAAUAUGCUAAAAGGGCUUAACAUAAUCAAUUUGUAUCUCAUUAUACAAAAACGAAUUAUGGAUAUUAUAUCUUUUUUACAGAAUAAACAAACUUUAGAAGAAAUAAAAAUAUUUUUCAAAACAAAUUUUAAUUUAAAUGAUGAACAAAUAAAAUAUAUAUUAUCAAUGAAAUUACAAAAAUUAAUUAAUAUUAAAAACAUAGAUUUUGUUAAGCAAAAAAAUAAUAUUCUAGAUAAAAUUAAAUUAAACGAGGACAUUAUAAACAAUGUUCAUAAUAUUAAAAAAAUAAUGAUUGACGAAUUAGUGUAUAUAAAAAAUAAAUAUGGCUUACAUAAUAUCCCUACAAAUAAUACACAAUCACAACCUUUUAAAUAUAAAUACACUUACAUAAAUGAUCAGAACAAACAUGUUCCCCCCAGCUUGUGGAGUGUCAUCACCCAGUCGAAUAAAAGCAGACAUGAACAAAUAGGAAUAGAUGAUAAGAAUAGUGAAGUCGUUGGUUCGGAGAUGAGUAAAGACCCGGACCAGAAACUGGCUGUUCAACUGGAUAAAGCUAAACUGGAGAAAACUAAACCAAGUAAAACACAGCCAGAUAAAGCUCAAACCGAUGUAGUUAGCACCACUUCAGACAAUCAUGUGUCAUUAUUAAACAAAAGUGAUAAACAGAAAAAGGAAAACCAAUCGAGUUUGAUGUACAGAAAUACAUACAUUGAUGAAUUAGAACUUAUAGAUACGGAUAUACAUAAUAACGAACAAAUGCUAAUUUUGAUUACCCAUGGUGGGUAUAUAAAAAAAAUAAAAAUUAAUGAAAAGCUACAAAGUAAUGUAAAUAAUAUUAUGAAAUUAUCAAAUAUAAAAUAUAUAUUAAAAGAAAAUGAAGAAAAUAUGAAUGAAAAUAAAAAAAAAAAAAAGAAGCAUCAACUAGGGGAACAGAAAAACGGAGUGGAUAUUGCCAUCACAGAUAACAAGGUGGUAGAUAUAACUCCAAACGAGCGAGUUAGCUUCAUCGAAAAUGAUAGAAUAGAAACGGCUCAAAAUAAUAUUUAUAAAAUAAAAAAAAGCAUUUUGUGCAAGAAUCGUGAUAAAAUAUUAAUAACUGAUAAUAAUAACAAAGCUUAUCUUUUAAACGUUUGUGACUUACGACCUUGUUCCUACGAUUCCAAAGGUAUAGCAAUUAAUCAAAUAAUUAAAUGUUCAAAAAAUAUAACUGGGUUAACUAAAUAUGAUGAAAAUAAAAAAUAUUUAAUUGUAUGUAGUGAAAAUGGUAAAAUGAAAAUUAUAAAUAAUGAUGUAUUUUUAAAAAAGAAAAAAAAAGGUAUCAGACUUUUUAAAAAUAAAAAAAAUAUAUUUUUUAGUUAUUGUAAUUUUAAUGAUAAUUGUAUUGUAGGAACAAGAAAAGGUUAUAUCAUACAAUUCCCUUUGAAUACUUUUAAAGUCUCUAAAAAAAAUUCUUUAGGAAAUAAAUGUAUAUGCUUGGGUAAAAAUGAUGCUGUUGUUGAUUUGUUAUCGUACGAAACGAGUGAGCAAAAUAAAAAAAAUAUGAAACUUAUUUUACUAUCCAAAAAUGGGUUUGGAAAAAUGAUUAACAUUGAUGAGUUAAAAAUACAAAAAAGGAAAGGAAAGGGAUAUAAAAUUAUGAAAUUUAAAAAAAAGAAAAUAAAAGCAGAAAAAACAGGACCUGGCUUAAUUAACAAUAGCGAAGUGGUUCAAAUUUUGGAGGAUUGUCAGCAAAAAACGGAUAAAUCAAACGAAAUGACCAAAACAAUGGAGCAAAAAAAAAAAAAAAUAAAUGAAGAAGAAAAGGGAGAAGAAAAGGGAGAAGAAAAAGAAGAAGAUCAAAACGAAGAUCAAAACGAAAAUCAAAACGAAGAUCAAAACGAAGAUCAAAACGAAGAUCAAAACAAAGAUCAAGNNNNNNNNNNNNNNNNNNNNNNNNNNNNNNNNNNNNNNNNNNNNNNNNNNNNNNNNNNNNNNNNNNNNNNNNNNNNNNNNNNNNNNNNNNNNNNNNNNNNCUUAUCAUGAUUACAGAUCAUGCAGUUCUUAUUCGAAAAAAUAUAGCUUUACUAAAAAAAAAAAAUAGGAAUCACUCCUCCCAAAUUUAUGCAAAACUGAAUCAAAUAAAUAAGCUCAUUUACUUUGACA
rnacentral:lncRNA from 1 species